CGGCAGGCCUAACACAUGCAAGUCGAGCGGUAGAGAGAAGCUUGCUUCUCUUGAGAGCGGCGGACGGGUGAGUAAUGCCUAGGAAUCUGCCUGGUAGUGGGGGAUAACGUUCGGAAACGGACGCUAAUACCGCAUACGUCCUACGGGAGAAAGCAGGGGACCUUCGGGCCUUGCGCUAUCAGAUGAGCCUAGGUCGGAUUAGCUAGUUGGUGGGGUAAUGGCUCACCAAGGCGACGAUCCGUAACUGGUCUGAGAGGAUGAUCAGUCACACUGGAACUGAGACACGGUCCAGACUCCUACGGGAGGCAGCAGUGGGGAAUAUUGGACAAUGGGCGAAAGCCUGAUCCAGCCAUGCCGCGUGUGUGAAGAAGGUCUUCGGAUUGUAAAGCACUUUAAGUUGGGAGGAAGGGUUGUAGAUUAAUACUCUGCAAUUUUGACGUUACCGACAGAAUAAGCACCG
rnacentral:rRNA from 1 species